CAAUAGCGUAUAUUUAAGUUGUUGCAGUUAAAAAGCUCGUAGUUGGAUUUCGGGUGGGACCUGCCGGUCCGUCGUUGCGAUGUGCACUGGCCGGUCCCAUCUUGUUGUCGGGGACCAGCUCCUGGGCUUCACUGUCCGGGACUGGGAGCCGACGAAGUUACUUUGAGUAAAUUAGAGUGUUCAAAGCAAGCCUACGCUCUGAAUAUAUUAGCAUGGAAUAACACGAUAGGACUCUGGCUUAUCUUGUUGGUCUGUGAGACCAGAGUAAUGAUUAAGAGGGACAGUCGGGGACAUUCGUAUUUCAUUGUCAGAGGUGAAAUUCUUGGAUUUAUGAAAGACGAACUUCUGCGAAAGCAUUUGUCAAGGAUGUUUUCAUUAA
rnacentral:rRNA from 1 species